GUGUGUGUACAGAGAGUUAGAGGCAGCCGCAAAUGUGUAUAUAUAAGCGUUAGUUGUAUGUGGCUGGAUUGAAGCUCCAUGAAAUUAAAUAGUAAGUCCCCUCCUCUCCCGACCCCCUCUUUCUAAACCCACUCGAUCUUCUCUCUGUCUAUUCAAUUCUGAUCUGCGCCUCACAAACAUAACAAUUCAUAAAAGAAUGUCAUCAUCAGAAACACCACUACGGUGGACUCAGCAACAACAAGAAGAAGCAGAAGAUAAUAUCACUGAAGAUGAAAUGAAUAAUAAUAAGGAGUUGAUGUUCGAGAAGGUUCUUACUCCAAGCGACGUUGGGAAGCUCAACCGCAUCGUCAUCCCAAAGCCCCACGCGGAGGCUCAUUUCCCGACCGGCGCUGACGGAUACUCGACCGAAGGGAAGGGCCUGCUUCUGAAUUUCGAGGACCAAUCGGGAAAACAAUGGAGGUUCCGUUACUCCUAUUGGAGCAGCAGCCAAAGCUAUGUUCUCACCAAAGGAUGGGGCCGCUACGUUAGGGAAAACCACCUUUCUGCCGGCGACGUCGUUUUGUUCAAGAGGCACCGCCUCCAUCCCAAUAAUUUCUUUGUUAGUUGGAGGCGCCGUGAUCCCGGGACCAUGCCCCUGGCGGCUAGAGGGAGGAGGAGGAGGAGGAGAAGGGAUGAGGGUACCAGUGGUGGUGAUGGCAACAGUGAGAGUGUGGUGGUGGGUGAUGCUGCUGUUUCUGUUUCUGUGGGGUAUCCUACGCACCACCAGCAACAUCCCUUCUCAUCCUAUCAUUCCAAUGAAUAUUUUCUUCAUGCAGGUCUCGUGCGCUAGCUGCGUGAGCCAUGUGACCGAAAUUUAACGAAGUAACAAAAAACAGAUAAAGACAAAUUAAAGGUGGAGAGUGCCAAGGUGCGAACGAAACGACAAUGGUGGAAAACCCUUUGAGUUCAGGUUCGAGGACGCUGAGGCUGUUCGGGGUGAACAUGGAAUGCCAAGAACAACGAGAGACACGUAAUAAUAACAAUAAUAAUAAUAAUUCUGAAACCUUCGCACCCUAAAAAAUCUCAUCGACAAGGACCCACCUCCCCAAUUAAUUAAUAUUAGUGAUAUAAUAAAUAAAUAUAAUCCCUCCUAAUUAAUUAAUUCGAAUCGUCGUUCACCAUCGUCACAUGCUAAACAUGCAAGUGGUGGCUUCUUGCUAUAUAUAUAUGUCACUGUCUUGUUUAGAUUCUCUUCUCUUCUUUUCUUUUUGUUUUCCCCCGGUUGGGGGUAAGCUAUGGUAUUCCUUCGGUCAAUUAUAUUACAAUAUAAUAUAAAUAGUAUGAGUAUGGUGAUGUCAUUAACAUCAAGAGUACCGAUGAAAGGAAUUGUUAAUUAUUUUAUAAGCGUAUCUAGUUUGGAGGUUAGCUAGACCAAGUUGAAGAUUAUAAAGGAUCCUUCUUGUGUUAAAUUUGGAAUAUGAAUGCAAAUGGAAAUGCUUAAUUAUCCUUUU